rnacentral:rRNA from 1 species
GACGAACGCUGGCGGCGUGCUUAACACAUGCAAGUCGAACGGAAAGGCCUGCUUUCCCUUGUGGAUUGCGGGUACUCGAGUGGCGAACGGGUGAGUAACACGUGAGUGAUCUGCCCCCAACUUGGGUAUAAGCCUGGGAAACUGGGUCUAAUUCCCGAUAGGACUGCAGGGUGGUGCCUGUGGUGGAAAACGAUUUUCUAGUGGUUGGGGAUGAGCUCGCGGCCUAUCAGCUUGUUGGUGGGGUAAUGGCCUACCAAGGCGGCGACGGGUAGCCGGCCUGAGAGGGUGGACGGACACAUUGGGACUGAGAUACGGCCCAGACUCCGACGGGAGGCAGCAGUGGGGAAUAUUGCACAAUGGGCGGAAGCCUGAUGCAGCGACGCCGCGUGGGGGAUGACGGCCUUCGGGUUGUAAACUCCUUUCGACCGCGAGGAAGCCACCUGGUUGGAAGGGUGGUGACGGUAGUGGUAGAAGAAGCACCGGCUAACUACGUG